GAAGAGCGUCGAAUUCAAUGUCGUGAAGUGAAGAUGGAAGGAGAGGGAAUAGCAAGAAAAAUCGAUCUCACCCGCUUCAACUCCUUUCAAUCCCUCACUGUCGCGUUGCUCACCAUGUUUGGCCAUGAAAAUUCGACUGCCUACAUACUCACUUUUCAAGAUAGAGAAGGAGACUGGUUACUUGCUACUGAUCUGCCAUGGAGGACUUUUACUCGUUCUGUUCAACGGCUGAAACUGCAGAGAAUCAGCAAUUGAUUUCUUCUCUAUGUUAUCUUAAUUAAAUCCAAAGAACUUUUUGACUUUUGCUUUAAUUAAUUCUAAAUGACUGUUGGGUUAUAUGUACAACCUGAUUAUAUAAUCUAAUAGAGAUUACAACUUGAGUUUAAUAUAAUAUAUAAUA